AUCUCAGUUACGUGAACACUGCAAUUCUGUGACUCCUCACUCCCUAACUAUAAGCUUUAUCAAAGAGGAGAGUUUUAAGUUUACUCUUAAAUGCAGUGAUGGUGUCUGGCUCCCGAACCCAGAUCGGAAGUUGAUUCCACAGGAGAGGAGCCUGAUAGCUGAAGGCUCUGGCUCCCAUUCUACUUUUAGAGACUCUAGGAACCAAAAGUAGCUCUGAAUUGUGGGAGUGUAGUGCUCUAGUGGGACAAUAAG